rnacentral:rRNA from 1 species
AGAAACUAACAAGGAUUCCCCCAGUAACGGCGAGUGAAGCGGGAAGAGCUCAAGCUUAAAAUCUCCAUACUUGUAUGGCGAAUUGUAGUCUAUUGAGGCUGUUGUCAGCAUCGCGAUCGGGGACAAGUCCCUUGGAAAAGGGCAGCAUGGAGGGUGAUACUCCCGUCUCUGCUCCGAUUUGCGGUGUGUACGAUACGCUUUCUUUGAGUCGAGUUGUUUGGGAAUACAGCUCAAAGUAGGUGGUAAAUUCCAUCUAAAGCUAAAUAUUGGUGCGAGACCGAUAGCGAACAAGUACCGUGAGGGAAAGAUGAAAAGAACUUUGAAAAGAGAGUUAAAGAGUNCCUGAAACUGUUGAAAGGGAACCGUAUCGUUUCCAGUGUUUUAUCCUGUGCAUAUUUCAUUCGCGGAGCAAUUUGCGGGUGCCCUGUGCAUGGGUGUGACGUCAGAGUCAGUUUGUAUGCUGCGGGAGAUGGUCAGUGAGGAGGUGCGUCACUUCGGUGAAAGUUAUAUCUCGCUGUCUMGUAGCCGUGGUUGAGACUGAGGUGCCUACAACAUGCCUUGGGGUUUCGUGUUGUCUCGUGUUAAUAACUGCUUUGAUAGCUUGCUAUGUCUGUGGUUUAUUGAUGCGAUUGAUGAUGCGGAUAACCUCUGCUGUUCGGGACUCUGGC